UAGCGCCUGCGGCGGGCCUGGCACGAACAUUUAUUAGAAUAACUUCGCAGGCAGUUGUUCGUGUACGGUCUGGUACACUCCGGAACAUUCCGGACUUUAAUGAUUUCU
rnacentral:ncRNA from 1 species